CCCAGGGCUUACGCCCUGGGCUAUUAUCUUUCGCCCCAACCGGGGCC
rnacentral:sRNA from 1 species